rnacentral:rRNA from 1 species
GGUUAAGCGACUAAGCGUACACGGUGGAUGCCCUGGCAGUCAGAGGCGAUGAAGGACGUGCUAAUCUGCGAUAAGCGUCGGUAAGGUGAUAUGAACCGUUAUAACCGGCGAUUUCCGAAUGGGGAAACCCAGUGUGAUUCGUCACACUAUCAUUAACUGAAUCCAUAGGUUAAUGAGGCGAACCGGGGGAACUGAAACAUCUAAGUACCCCGAGGAAAAGAAAUCAACCGAGAUUCCCCCAGUAGCGGCGAGCGAACGGGGAGGAGCCCAGAGCCUGAAUCAGUGUGUGUGUUAGUGGAAGCGUCUGGAAAGGCGCGCGAUACAGGGUGACAGCCCCGUACACAAAAAUGCACAUGCUGUGAGCUCGAUGAGUAGGGCGGGACACGUGGUAUCCUGUCUGAAUAUGGGGGGACCAUCCUCCAAGGCUAAAUACUCCUGACUGACCGAUAGUGAACCAGUACCGUGAGGGAAAGGCGAAAAGAACCCCGGCGAGGGGAGUGAAAAAGAACCUGAAACCGUGUACGUACAGGCAGUGGGAGCACGCUUAGGCGUGUGACUGCGUACCUUUUGUAUAAUGGGUCAGCGACUUAUAUUCUGUAGCAAGGUUAACCGAAUAGGGGAGCCGAAGGGAAACCGAGUCUUAACUGGGCGUUAAGUUGCAGGGUAUAGACCCGAAACCCGGUGAUCUAGCCAUGGGCAGGUUGAAGGUUGGGUAACACUAACUGGAGGACCGAACCGACUAAUGUUGAAAAAUUAGCGGAUGACUUGUGGCUGGGGGUGAAAGGCCAAUCAAACCGGGAGAUAGCUGGUUCUCCCCGAAAGCUAUUUAGGUAGCGCCUCGUGAAUUCAUCUCCGGGGGUAGAGCACUGUUUCGGCAAGGGGGUCAUCCCGACUUACCAACCCGAUGCAAAC